AUUAGAGUUUGAUAGUGGCUCAGGAUGAAGGCGGGCGGCGUGCUUAAUACAUGCAAGUCGAACGGAGACAGUAGCAAUAUUGUCUUAGUGGCGAACGGGUGAGUAACGCGUUGGUGACCUGCCCCGAAGAGGGGGAUAACAGUCCGAAUGGAUUGCUAAUACCCCAUGUGGUCAUAUGGAUUAGAUGCCUAAUGACUAAACGGAUUUAUUCGCUUCGGGAGGGGCCUGCGUCCCAUCAGCUAGUUGGUAAGGUAAUGGCUUACCAAGGCGAUGACGGGUAGGGGACCUGAGAGGGUGGCCCCCCACAAUGGAACUGAAACACGGUCCAUACACCUACGGGUGGCAGCAGUAGGGAAUAUUGGUAAUCUGGGAAACCGGGAACCAGCAACGCCGCGUGCACGAUGAAGGCCUUCGGGUCGUAAAGUGCUUUUUGAAGGGAUGAGGAAGGACAGUACCUUCAGAAUAAGCCUCGGCUAACUACGUGCCAGCAGCCGCGGUAAAACGUAGGAGGCGAGCGUUAUCCGGAUUUACUGGGCGUAAAGCGUGUGUAGGCGGUUUGAUAAGUUGGAUGUGAAAGCUCCCGGCUCAACUGGGAGAGGUCGUUCAAAACUAUCAGACUAGAGAGUGGUAGAGGGAGGUGGAAUUCCGCGUGUAGUGGUGAAAUGCGUAGAUAUGCGGAGGAACACCAGUGGCGAAAGCGGCCUCCUGGCCCAUUUCUGACGCUCAGACACGAAAGCUAAGGUAGCAAACGGGAUUAGAGACCCCGGUAGUCUUAGCUGUAAACGAUGUGAACUUAGUGUCGGUGGGGUUAAAUCCAUCGGUACUGAAGCUAACGCGAUAAGUUCACCGCCUGAGGACUACGGCCGCAAGGUUAAAACUCAAAGGAAUUGACGGGGCCCCGCACAAGCAGCGGAGCGUGUGGUUUAAUUCGAUGUUACACGAAGAACCUUACCAGGGUUUGACAUGCAAGUGGUAGGAAACCGAAAGGUGACCGACCCUUCGGGGAGCUUGCACAGGUGCUGCAUGGCUGUCGUCAGCUCGUGUCGUGAGAUGUUCGGUUAAGUCCGCUAACGAGCGCAACCCUCACUGUGUGUUAUAUGUGUCACACGGGACCGCCGGUCUUAAGCCGGAGGAAGGUGGGGAUGACGUCAAGUCAGCAUGGCCUUUAUAUCCUGGGCUACACACACGCUACAAUGGCCAACACAAUAGGUCGCUAAGCCGCGAGGUGGAGCCAAUCCAUAAAGUUGGUCUCAGUUCAGAUUGCAGGCUGCAACCCGCCUGCAUGAAGAUGGAGUUGCUAGUAACCGCAGGUCAGCUAUACUGCGGUGAAUACGUUCCCGGGGCUUGUACACACCGCCCGUCACGUCAUGGGAGUUGGCAACACCUGAAGCCGGUAUCCUAACCGCAAGGAGGGAGCCGUCGAGGGUGGGGUCGAUGACUGGGACGAAGUCGUAACAAGGUAGGUGUACCGGAAGGUGCGCCUGGAUCACCUCCUUUGUGAAU
rnacentral:rRNA from 1 species